AGUGAACGCUGGCGAUAGGCCUAACACAUGCAAGUCGAACGGCAGCACAGUAAGAGCUUGCUCUUACGGGUGGCGAGUGGCGGACGGGUGAGGAAUACAUCGGAAUCUACUUUUUCGUGGGGGAUAACGUAGGGAAACUUACGCUAAUACCGCAUACGACCUACGGGUGAAAGCAGGGGAUCUUCGGACCUUGCGCGAUUGAAUGAGCCGAUGUCGGAUUAGCUAGUUGGCGGGGUAAAGGCCCACCAAGGCGACGAUCCGUAGCUGGUCUGAGAGGAUGAUCAGCCACACUGGCACUGAGACACGGUCCAGACUCCUACGGGAGGCAGCAGUGGGGAAUAUUGGACAAUGGGCGCAAGCCUGAUCCAGCCAUACCGCGUGGGUGAAGAAGGCCUUCGGGUUGUAAAGCCCUUUUGUUGGGAAAGAAAAGCAGCAGGUUAAUACCCCGCUGUUCUGACGGUACCCAAAGAAUAAGCACCGGCUAACUUCGUG
rnacentral:rRNA from 1 species